UACGUAGGGUGCGAGCGUUAAUCGGAAUUACUGGGCGUAAAGGCGUGCGCAGGCGGUUUGUAAGCCAGGUAGUGAAAUCCCCGGGCUCAACCUGGGAAUGGCAUUUGGGACUGCAAGGCUGGAGUGCGGCAGAGGAGACUGGAAUUCCCGGUGUAGCAGUGAAAUGCGUAGAUAUCGGGAGGAACACCUGUGGCGAAAGCGGCUCACUGGACCAUAACUGACGCUGAUGCACGAAAGCUGGGGGAGCAAACAGG
rnacentral:rRNA from 1 species